UACGAGUACCCCAAGCGUUAUCCGGAAUCAUUGGGCGUAAAGGGUGUGUAGGUGGUCUAGUUAGUCUUCUGUUAAAUUCUUCGGCUUAACCGGGGUUCUGCAGGGGAAACGGCUAGACUAGAGUGUGCAAGGGGUGAAUGGAACUCAUGGAGUAGGGGUGAAAUCCGUUGAUAUCAUGGGGAACACCAAAAGCGAAGGCAAUUCACUGGUGCAUUACUGACACUGAAACACGAAAGCGUGGGUAGCGAACUGG
rnacentral:rRNA from 1 species